UACGUAGGGUGCGAGCGUUGUCCGGAAUUACUGGGCGUAAAGAGCUCGUAGGCGGUUUGUCGCGUCGUCCGUGAAAACUUGGGGCUCAACCCCAAGCUUGCGGGCGAUACGGGCAGACUUGAGUACUGCAGGGGAGACUGGAAUUCUUGGUGUAGCGGUGAAAUGCGCAGAUAUCAGGAGGAACACCGGUGGCGAAGGCGGGUCUCUGGGCAGUAACUGACGCUGAGGAGCGAAAGCGUGGGUAGCGAACAGG
rnacentral:rRNA from 1 species